GAUGAACGCUGGCGGCGUGCCUAAUACAUGCAAGUCGAGCGAACAGACGAGGAGCUUGCUCCUCUGACGUUAGCGGCGGACGGGUGAGUAACACGUGGAUAACCUACCUAUAAGACUGGGAUAACUUCGGGAAACCGGAGCUAAUACCGGAUAAUAUAUUGCACCGCAUUGUUCAAUAGUGAAAGACGGUUUUGCUGUCACUUAUAGAUGGAUCCGCGCCGCAUUAGCUAGUUGGUAAGGUAACGGCUUACCAAGGCAACGAUGCGUAGCCGACCUGAGAGGGGGAUCGGCCACACUGGAACUGAGACACGGUCCAGACUCCUACGGGAGGCAGCAGUAGGGAAGCUUCCGCAAUGGGCGAAAGCCUGACGGAGCGACGCCGCGUGAGUGAUGAAGGUCUUCGGAUCGUAAAACUCUGUUAUUAGGGAAGAACAAAUGUGUAAGUAACUAUGCACGUCUUGACGGUACCUAAUCAGAAAGCCACGGCUAACUACGUG
rnacentral:rRNA from 1 species